UCGCUAUGGGAUGGCCCCGCGGUGCAUUAGCUAGUUGGUAAGGUAACGGCUUACCAAGGCAAUGAUGCAUAGCCGAGUUGAGAGACUGAUCGGCCACAUUGGGACUGAGACACGGCCCAAACUCCUACGGGAGGCAGCAGUAGGGAAUCUUCCACAAUGGACGCAAGUCUGAUGGAGCAACGCCGCGUGAAUGAAGAAGGUUUUCGGAUCGUAAAGCUCUGUUGUUGGUGAAGAAGGAUAGAGGUAGUAACUGGCCUUUAUUUGACGGUAAUCAACCAGAAAGUCACGGCUAACUACGUGCCAGCAGCCGCGGUAAUACGUAGGUGGCAAGCGUUGUCCGGAUUUAUUGGGCGUAAAGCGAGCGCAGGCGGAAGAAUAAGUCUGAUGUGAAAGCCCUCGGCUUAACCGAGGAACUGCAUCGGAAACUGUUUUUCUUGAGUGCAGAAGAGGAGAGUGGAACUCCAUGUGUAGCGGUGGAAUGCGUAGAUAU
rnacentral:rRNA from 1 species